rnacentral:tRNA from 1 species
CAAGAAAUAGUUUAAUUAAAAUAAUAGUUUUGGAGACUAUAGAAAAGAUUUUUAAUCUUUUUUUUGA